rnacentral:rRNA from 1 species
ACUCCUACGGGAGGCAGCAGUGGGGAAUAUUGCACAAUGGGGGAAACCCUGAUGCAGCCAUGCCGCGUGUGUGAAGAAGGCCUUCGGGUUGUAAAGCACUUUCAGUAGGGAGGAAGGUAGUGUAGUUAACACCUGCAUUAUUUGACGUUACCUACAGAAGAAGCACCGGCUAACUCCGUGCCAGCAGCCGCGGUAAUACGGAGGGUGCGAGCGUUAAUCGGAAUUACUGGGCGUAAAGCGCAUGCAGGCGGCCUGUUAAGUCAGAUGUGAAAGCCCGGGGCUUAACCUCGGAAUUGCAUUUGAAACUGGCAGGCUAGAGUCUUGUAGAGGGGGGUAGAAUUUCAGGUGUAGCGGUGAAAUGCGUAGAGAUCUGAAGGAAUACCAGUGGCGAAGGCGGCCCCCUGGACAAAGACUGACGCUCAGAUGCGAAAGCGUGGGGGAGCAAACA